rnacentral:tRNA from 1 species
AGGGCAGUAGCGCAGUGGUAGCGCGCGAGCUUUGGGAGCUCGGGGUCGCAGGUUCGAAUCCUGUCUGCCCUACCA